rnacentral:rRNA from 1 species
GACGAACGCUGGCGGCGUGCCUAACACAUGCAAGUCGAGCGAGGGACUUCGGUCCUAGCGGCGGACGGGUGAGUAACACGUGAGCAACCUGCCUCAUAGAGGGGGAUAGCCUCCCGAAAGGGAGAUUAAUACCGCAUAAUAAACUUUUCUGCAUGGAGAAGUUUUGAAAGGAGUAAUCCACUAUGAGAUGGGCUCGCGUCGCAUUAGCUAGUUGGUGAGGUAACGGCUCACCAAGGCGACGAUGCGUAGCCGACCUGAGAGGGUGAUCGGCCACAUUGGAACUGAGACACGGUCCAGACUCCUACGGGAGGCAGCAGUGGGGAAUAUUGCGCAAUGGGCGAAAGCCUGAUGCAGCAACGCCGCGUGAGUGAAGAAGGCCUUCGGGUUGUAAAGCUCUGUCAUUAGGGACGAAAAUGACGGUACCUAAUGAGGAAGCCACGGCUAACUACGUGCCAGCAGCCGCGGUAA